rnacentral:rRNA from 1 species
UACGGAGGGGGCUAGCGUUGUCCGGAUUUAUUGGGUUUAAAGGGUGCGUAGGCGGUCCUGUAAGUCAGUAGUGAAAUACGGCAGCUCAACUGUCGAGGUGCCAUUGAUACUGCUGGACUUGAGUACAGACGAGGUAGGCGGAAUUGACGGUGUAGCGGUGAAAUGCUUAGAUAUCGUCAAGAACACCGAUAGCGAAGGCAGCUUACUAGACUGUAACUGACGCUGAGGCACGAAGGUGCGGGGAUCAAACAGG